ensembl:snRNA U6 U6 spliceosomal RNA
GUGCUCACUUUGGUAGCCUAUGUACUAAAAUGGGAACGAUGCCGAGAUUAGCUUAGCCUCUACACAAGGAUGAUAUACAAAUUUGUGAAGCAUUCCUUCCUGUU